rnacentral:rRNA from 1 species
AUUGAACGCUGGCGGCAGGCUUAACACAUGCAAGUCGAGCGGGGGAAGGUAGCUUGCUACCGGACCUAGCGGCGGACGGGUGAGUAAUGCUUAGGAAUCUGCCUAUUAGUGGGGGACAACAUCUCGAAAGGGAUGCUAAUACCGCAUACGUCCUACGGGAGAAAGCAGGGGAUCUUCGGACCUUGCGCUAAUAGAUGAGCCUAAGUCGGAUUAGCUAGUUGGUGGGGUAAAGGCCUACCAAGGCGACGAUCUGUAGCGGGUCUGAGAGGAUGAUCCGCCACACUGGGACUGAGACACGGCCCAGACUUCUACGGGAGGCAGCAGUGGGGAAUAUUGGACAAUGGGGGGAACCCUGACCCAGCCAUGCCGCGUGUGUGAAGAAGGCCUUAUGGUUGUAAAGCACUUUAAGCGAGGAGGAGGCUACUUUAGUUAAUACCUAGAGAUAGUGGACGUUACUCGCAGAAUAAGCACCGGCUAACUCUGUGCCAGCAGCCGCAGUAA